GACCUUAUUUGCAUAGAGAUGUCCAGUUCUUUAUCCUGUGUCUAAUUUCUAAAGAUUUUUCUGUUGCCAAGAAUAACAACUAGAUUUGAUUUGUGAUUUGAUGUGAUAAAUCGCCAUAACCGAAUUCGUAUUCUAUCCUAAUUAGCACUUGUGUUGUACAUUUUUUCAAUUUUGUGAAUGCAGUAAAAUUUGAUAGAUCACGCAAUGGCACAACAAUUCUUAGCACAACUGAUGGGGCUUGGUGAAAGUAAAGAAUUGAAUCAAGAAUUGGAACUCUUUCCAACUGAAGAGCGUGAAAUUCUCAAAGAUAACUUCACAAAGCUGUCUGGUGGCAGUAAGAAAAUUGAUCGCCAAACUUUACAAAAUGCUGUUAAACAAAUACUUCCUAAACCAGAAGCAGAUAUUUUUGCUCAGAGAAUAUGUGACCUAAUGACAGGUCAAAUAGCAACAAAUAACACUGUUACAAUUGAGGGUUACAUCCAUUGUGCAGCUGUAAUGAACAAAGGAAUGUUGGAAGAUAAAGCAACCCAACUUAUGUAUUUGGCAAAGGGGAGAAAAGGGGACACUACAUUUGAAGAAUGUUUUAAUUUUUCAAUUCAAAUAAUUCGACUCACUUUUGUAAUAAUUCGUCAUCUUCCGGCAUUUCGCUCUUGGGAUGGACAUUAUAUAUGCAAUUUGGAAGAGGAUUCUGUGAGGCGUUUGGCGACGGCCAUCAUGAAUGAAUUAGAAAAAUCUGAUUCAGAAAGCAUUGACAAUCAAGCAGUUAGCGCGUGGCUUUCAAAGAGUGGCUUAUUGAUUGAGUUUUUCGGUAUGAUGUCACAUCACAUUUUCCAGUUUCCUAUGACUAAAGGAAAGAGUUUAAUUCCCCUCUGUCGAGGUAUUCCCGCCCAAGUAUAUCCUUCGUGGUUAUCGCUUUCAGAUAUUCUUUUUAUUAACUGUGCUUUACCAAGUGAAUUGCGAAGUGAAUGGAGGUUUUUGUUUUCUAGCCGCAUACACGGCGAAAGUUUUUCAAGCCUCAUGGGUAACAUCAUCGAUAAAGGACCGUCUGUCGUUUUUAUUAAAGACUUUGAUGGGCAUAUUUUUGGCGGGUUUGCUUCUACGAGUUGGACUGUGGGUCCGCAAUUUAAAGGCACAAAGGACAAUUUUGUGUUCUCAUUAGCACCACAAAUGGCUAUAUAUAAUACAACAGGAUUCAACGAUCACUACCAGUACUUAAACCUACAACAACAAACUUUUCCCAAUGGAAUGGGAAUGGGCGGUCAACUGGACUAUUUUGCCAUCUGGGUUGAUUCGGAAUAUGGAAAAGGCAAGUGUUCACCCAGUUGUACGACAUUUAACUGCCAUCAGCUGUCCGGUAAACCAGAGUUUUCCAUCGAUAUGAUUGAAGUGUGGGCCGUCGGUCCAGAACCAACUGAAGACGAAGAUGAAACGGUGAAAAGAAGAGACGGCACAGGAAGCGUUUUGGACACAAACCAAGAAGACAGGGCCAUGCUCGAUAUAAUUGGGAAAGAGAGGCACAGCGAAGGAUUACGCGAACCAGUAGACGAAGAUUGAUCGUUGGGAGGCACGGCCAAGCAUUUUGGACGUAGACGUAGAGGGUAAAGCCAUGCUAAGAAUGUUGAAUCGUGGACCAGUUUCAGAAGGAAUGCGAGAAAACCCAACAUCGGAUGAUCCCGAAGAGAAAGAGCUGUAUGUGUCAUCGGU
rnacentral:misc_RNA from 1 species